AUGGACUCAAGUGAUCCACACAUCUUUGCCUCCCAAAUUGCUGGGAUAACACAUGUGAUUCAUGGUGCUCAGCCUAAAUCUUUGUUUCAUGAUCUUUUAGUUGAAAGAAAUCAAAACUUCAAUGCCAUUGGACACUUCAUGAAGAUGUGUCAAGAUAAGAUCCCAUUCCUGUUUCCCUCUGUGAUGAUGUCACUGAUCUGUUCUUGGAAUUGGAAGAGGAAUCAAGAAAGAACAGUAACAGAAAAGAGAAAACCUGAUACUAGUGGAAAAAAUGAGUGAGAUGCAUCACAGACUGAAGAAUCUGCCUCCCAGAAUGAGCAACAACCCAUUUGAAGCAGUAAAAGGAAAUUCUAAGUAAUGAUCUGUUAAGUACUAUCUGCUAAUAUUUUCCCUGGAUCUGUAAUGUGGCAUGAACACUAGUUCCUUAAACUUGCAUUGCAUACCAAUAAACAUAAAUAAAUUACCACAAAUAAAUGUCCCCUGUAUUGCAUGCCAUAGCACUUCAUUCUGUGGGGACAUCCAGGCCAAAAUGAUGAGGAUCUUGUUCAGAGACUGGGUGACAUGAAUCAAAGCCUGAUUCAAAGAAAACUGGCUUCUAAGUUGUGUUCUUCCCUUCCUGGCUCUCUGACCUAAGACAUUUUUCUUGUUUGUUUUGCCUCACCAAGCCUCAAAGUACUCACUCAACAUGGAAUAAAUAUCAGAAUCAUAGUGUUGUAGUGAAGGUUAAGUUAUAUAUGUGGGAAAUGCAUUUACAAUUACUAAAUAUUGGUUAGCCUUAUAAUUCUAAUUAUUAUAAUUUUUAAAAUAUUCUAUGAACUUCAAUUUAAAAUAAGACACAGACACAGAUGUGAAUAAGUGUUAAUAAAAUGUGAUCAUAAGUACAACAGGAGUAGAAGUGUGGGGGAAGAGAUCUCAACUGUGCAUAAGAGAAGAUGGGAUGUAAAUUUUGAGUUAUGUUUACUGAUUAUGUGGGAUUCAGAUUGAUAGUCAUGAGCUAUAUAAAGGAGAACUUUCCAGAAGUGAGAAAUGGUCUGUAAUAAGGUUCAGAUGGGCAGGGAAAUAGAGGGCUAUAGAGAAAAGCGGGAGGUCUAGAGUGACUGUGGUAUUGAGCGUGAGUGACAGAAACAGGUAAAGGGAGACAUAAUGCACGCUUUAAAAGCAUGGGGAUAUGAGUUUAAGGUUCCAAAAUUUAGAUAAUCCAACAGGAACCAUAGAUUAUAGAAUGAUAAGAUCAAAUGUAUGUUUAGGGAAAUAACUCGAAUGGCAAAGAGUACACUAUAUUCUCAGGAAGAACUGGACUCAAGACAUGAAAACACUUAAGGUAGUAAGAAACUAGAAAAGGAUAUUGGGAGCUUGAAUUCGGGCAAUAAAUGAAAGGGGUAUAUUAAUAUAAGUUUCCAUUUUUUUUCCACAAAAAUCAGAACCCUUCUAUAACUCCAACUAUUGAUAGACUUGAAGUCACUUAAGUGAAUUAGUAACACAACCGUAGUAAAACUUUUGUUAAACACAACGUUCCAUUUAGUAACAUACAGUAACAUAGGAUUUCAUCCUGUGCAAAGUCAUAUAUAUAUUUUACACAUCAAAGCUGAAGCCUGAGAUCCCAGUAUCCAUUUUAUAUGUUGCAUGUUGUCUGUACCCUGUCACUGUCUCCAUGCCUUUAUGUAAAUAAUUUCUUUAAGUACAACUUUGAUAAAGUUAUUAUAUAGUGAUUUUAUUAAUUUGUAUGUAUAUAUAAAUGUGGGGUUUUCUUAUAUUCAUAUUCAGGUUAUUUAAUCUCAGUGUUUUUAUUGAAAUCAGCAAAAUCGUAAGUCAGAUAAGCUCUCCCUGAAUAGUUUUAUUAAAGGAUGUUAGGAUAAACUGGACUCCAAAUGUUAAUUGCAAUAAAUAUGCAUAUGCUAAAAAUGAGCCCACAGAUAAAGAAACACAUAAACACUACCUUAGCAUGAGUGUUUUACUUGUUAAUUUUCAGUUCAUCAGCAAUAUUGUAUAUACCAAAAAUAUGUUUGCAUACACCAUACAUGCACACACAUACGCAUAUAUAACUUCUGAAAACUACUGAUUAGGGAUGCUCUAAGGCUGUGCUGUCCAACACUGUAGACACUGACUAGGCACUUGAGAUAUGCUUUGUCCAAGCUGCACUGCACUCUAGCAUAAAACAAACACAAGACUUUGAAGACUUAGAAUGCAAACAGAGUAAAAGGCAACAUUAACAAAUUUGUGUUAUUACCUGAAGAAAUUCUAUAUCAAUAUAUGAGUAUAAAUAUUAUCACAGUAAUAGUAAUAUAGGUA
rnacentral:lncRNA from 1 species